GUAGAUAUAGUUUAACAAAAACAUUAGAUUGUGAUUCUAAAAAUAGGGAAUAAAAUACCCUUAUCUACA
rnacentral:tRNA from 1 species